AGAGUUUGAUCCUGGCUCAGAAUGAACGUUGGCGGCGUGGAUUAGGCAUGCAAGUCGUACGGGCCAGCAAUGGCCAGUGGCGAAAGGGAGAGGAAUACGCAGGUAUCUGCCUCCGGGUCGGGGAUAGCCACGGGAAACUGUGGGUAAUACCCGAUAACGUCUCCGGACCAAAGGUGUAAUUCCACCUGGAGAGGAGCCUGCGUCCUAUUAGCUAGUCGGUGAGGUAAUGGCUCACCAAGGCUACGAUGGGUACGGGGUGUGAGAGCAUGCCCCCGCUCACUGGGACUGAGACACUGCCCAGACACCUACGGGUGGCUGCAGUCGAGAAUCUUCCGCAAUGGGCGCAAGCCUGACGGAGCGACGCCGCGUGUGGGAUGAAGGCCUUCGGGUUGUAAACCACUGUCGUAGAGGAGGAAGGACCGGUGCAGAGCCGGUUUUGACCUAUUCUAGGAGGAAGGGUGGGCUAAGUUCGUGCCAGCAGCCGCGGUAAGACGAACCACCCAAACGUUAUUCGGAAUUACUGGGCUUAAAGGGUGCGUAGGCGGCGCGGAAAGUCAGAUGUGAAAUCCCUCGGCUUAACCGAGGAACUGCGUUUGAAACUACCGUGCUUGAGUAAGACAGAGGUAAGCGGAACUUCGGGUGGAGCGGUGAAAUGCGUUGAUAUCCGAAGGAACACCGGUGGCGAAAGCGGCUUACUGGGUCUUUACUGACGCUGAUGCACAAAAGCUAGGGGAGCAAACGGGAUUAGAUACCCCGGUAGUCCUAGCCGUAAACGAUGAGCACUUGGUUGGAGGCUCCUCCAUAGGCUUCCGGCCGUAGCGAAAGUGUUAAGUGCUCCGCCUGGGGAGUAUGGCCGCAAGG
rnacentral:rRNA from 1 species